AUGUCCAUAAACUAUACAUAUAAACCAUAAUCUUUCACUUACGCUAACUGACCUACAGUACUUGUGUUCACGAGAGAAUGGCGUUCCAGCAGAUGACGCAGGUGUAUUGAUAAGCUCCGGUGACAGUAUGCUAGUCUCGUGAGAACCAAGUUUUGUUUACAGCAAAGGAAAACCAGCCUCCUCUUGGCUCUGAAAUUUUUCUUUUAAAAAUCCUUGUUUUGUACUUCUAAUUUGUGACUGGUGUUUUGUUUUGCUCUCUCCUCUGCGCUUCCGCACUCGUCACUUCUCACCGAAGCUAAAGCUGCGCCUACGUCCUACGUCAGUGGUUCUCAACCAUUCCUGGAGGACCCACAACGCUGCAAAUUUUGCCUGUCUCCUUUUUCUGACACAGCCAUUUCAAGUCUUUGAGUUUCUACUAAUGGGCAGGUGACCUGAAUCAGGUGUGUUUGAUUAAGGAGACAUGCAAAAUGUGCAGUGAUGGGGGUCCUCCAGAAAUGUGGUUGAGAACCACUGUCCUACGUCAUCUGCUGGAACACUCUCAUGAAUGUGUAUAUGACAGAGGAAGGGAGGUUUAUAUAAUAUUAUUAUAAAGUUUUAAUUAUGGAUAUUUUUCUUACACAAACGCAUAGAUUCACUUCAGAAGGUGUUUAUUAACCCCCGGGGGCCACGUUGAGUAUUUUUUUUUUUAUGAUGAAUGGAUGCACUUUAAUUUGCUUCAAAAUCUCGACCACCAUUCACUGCCAAAGCCAGGACAUUUUUUAAUAUAACACCGAUUGUAUUCCUCUGAAAGAAGAAAGUGAUAUAUGCCUUAUGCCUAGGAUCGCUUGAGGCUUCACUCUUCUCAAACCUUCAUGCCAGCCUGUAUCUGGAUGGCAGAAUCUGGAUGGGAGAUCAUUGUUGUUCUUACCUCAAUAGCAAGGAGUCUUCUCUCCAAGUAGUCCAUAAGGGCCUGCUGCUGUGCCCCCACCAGGCCAGAGAGAAUGAGGACAAGGAGCUGGACGGCUUUCAUCUUAAAGACCGGAGGAGACUGCUUUAGAAACACUGAGUAUGUGCGUAUGUUAGGCGGAGUGGAAAAGCCCUCAUGCAGAGGCACUGAGUUGGCUGGAAUGUUUAAAGAAAGAGCAGACCGAGAGGAGGAGCCUAACACAUCUGGAGCAGCUCUUUCUCUGGAGAGCUGGAUGACCUCCAGCUCCUUUUCUGGCGGUUCAUCGGGAUAAAUCCGAAAAAGGGCACCAAGGCUGGAGGAGUCACAUCAAAGCCAAAGGAUGGGGAAGGUCAUCCCA